rnacentral:snRNA from 1 species
AACCCGGACUAACCAGUC